UCAACCCUCACAUCGUACGAUAAGCACUCAUAUUAGGAGCUCAUACAGUGGAUCUAUGCUCCAUCAGGUAGAAGAAGGGAGCCAGCAAUUAAAAUGUUCUAAUUCUGUUGUGAUUCCUGAUCCCAAUUCAGCUGUUUUCGAUCGUGAUUUGAUUCGAUUCCUUGGCUUAAUAAUCAGCUUGUUUUUAAUUGCUCAUUUGAGGUAAAUAUUUUAUAAUUGGGCCACAAGAUGUCUGCAGCUCAAGAUCCAUUUUAUAUUGUGAAGGAUGAAAUUCAAGAAUCUGGAGGUCAGCUGUGUGAUUACUGAAAUUGGUUCUUCUUUCUUUACCGCUCUCACAUUGGGAUAGCUUUUACUUGUAUGACUGAGCUGAUAGAAAAAGGAUUACAUUGAGACUAGUUUAAUAGAUGUUGGAAAAGGAUGAAUAUAUUGAAGGAAAAUAUGACUGAUGAUUGACAGGCUGUUGUCUACAUUUCAUCAAUGGGAGUGCAUUCCUAAUAGUGGAGAGCAUCAACAACUUGUGAAGGAGCUUCAUUCUGCGUGUGAGAGCAUUUCAUGGCAG